GCGCUGUUGUCGGGUCGGAAACGCUGAUCGUCGGCGGCAGUUCGGCGGACAAUGACGUGAGCGGCCAGUGGGCCCAGUUCGGCCCCGAGGCGGUGCA
rnacentral:tRNA from 1 species